AUUACCCUACGGGACGCAGCAGUAGGGAAUCUUCCACAAUGGACGAAAGUCUGAUGGAGCAACGCCGCGUGAGUGAAGAAGGGUUUCGGCUCGUAAAGCUCUGUUGGUAGUGAAGAAAGAUAGAGGUAGUAACUGGCCUUUAUUUGACGGUAAUUACUUAGAAAGUCACGGCUAACUACGUGCCAGCAGCCGCGGUAAUACGUAUGUGGCAAGCGUUGUCCGGAUUUAUUGGGCGUAAAGC
rnacentral:rRNA from 1 species